rnacentral:lncRNA from 1 species
CCACCGGGCACCACUGCAGUAUGAUCCGGUGCCCCAGACAGAGUACUGCUCAACACCGUCACAGUACAAUUCAGUGGCCCCACCGUAUCAGCAAGUACCACCAUAGGAACCCCCAGUCUACCCUUAGCCUAGCCCAGUCCCUUUUCCACGGGACCCAGUUCCUCCCACAAUUGACCCGGACUACAUAGAGAGGUAUAAGAGACUAAACUCAUCUACUUUUGUAGGGGGAUCCUCUUUUGAAGAUGUCGAGUACUGGUUGGCAGAGACAGAAAAGGCCUUCAAGACCUUAGGGUGACUUCUGAGC